CUGCUGUCCCUGUCCUCCUUGAGCAGCGUUUGUCCUGUGGUCAUACCUUGCCAAACAAAAGCUGCCUUUGCCUUUUACACAGUGGCUUUCCUCUUCCCCGCAGGAACGAGCCCUCAUUGAAAUUCACCAGGGACCAGUGGCUUCUAUAGGAGUUUGUGCAGGCUGAUGGCACUGCCAGCCCUGGCCUGGAAACGGAAAAGAUUUUGUCCAGGAACUGCAAAUACAUCUUUACCAGGGUUCUAGGGUUGCAGGGAGACAGGCUACUUGCUGGGUGUGGAAGAGGAAGGAGAGAGGCAUGGCCCCAGGGAUGGUGGAAAUCUGUGUUCCAAUCCUGCCUGAUCUUUACCAAUAUGCGCUACUGGAAAAGCUGCUUCUCUGAGUCUCCAAGUCCCCAGCCGCAGCAGGACGUGCCCAGCUCUGGAAAUUGGAAUUCAGCUGCAGAUGGGCUCAGCCAAGGGUGCAAGAGGAGGGAGUUCGCUCAGAUCUUUGUAAGGGAAGGAGGGCUGUCCACUGCUCAGGCUUUGAAACCAGCGGGAACUCCUGAAGGUGACGUCUUAGGCUCAGAGACCCUGACACCAGAUGUGCGUGGGUAACAAGCCCUGGUCACAUUCCAGCUGCAGCUUGCCUCUGAAACUCUUCCCAGUGAUUCUGCAAAGUUCCAGGCCUUGACUCUGUUGCAGGAUGAAUGAAUUGUUCAUCUUGCCAGCUCAGAGCAUGCCUGGGCCAAAUUCCUCCCUCGUUUUUUAUGGGGCUAAUACAUCUGCAGUCCCUUUUCGGUGGCUCUGCAGACCGAACGUAUUAUUUCGGAAAACUUUCUGCCCCCCCCCCACCUCCCGGCAAAAAACUUUCAUUCCCUGGUGGAAAUGGUUUAUCAACGUCUUUAAAAAACCACUCAGAUCUUCUUGGCAACCUCUGCUACCAUAAAAGAGUAGCUGUGAGAAUGCAAACGAAGGGGAGGGCAUUAAAAACCCUCUUGCUUCGGCAGCUCAAGUGGAGAAGGGCCGGAUGAUGGAUGGCGCCUGGCUUUCUGCUGAGCGAUUUUGCUCUUUUCACAACUGCCAAUGGCUGAUGUAUUUCAUCUUUUGUUUCCUUUCCUGCCACUUAAGCAGCCACCCUCAGGCUGGGGGUGUGUCCCCGGGCGCCCACUUGUCCCAUCCCCCAGCGGAGGGGUUCAGCCAGCUGUUCCACACUCAACUCCCGGUUUGGGAAGGCUCGGGGUGGCCCAGCUGGACAGGGUCCCCCGGGAGCUCCCAUCCUGUAAUGCUGAGCUCAGCCAGUGAGUCUGCUGAGGAGCAGAAAUCUCCCGGCUCCUUUUCUUCCACUCCACUCCUCAUUUUAAAAAAUAUUUUAUUUUA